ACUGCUCAGUAACACGUGGACAACCUACCCUUAGGUCGGGGAUAAACCCGGGAAACUGGGUAUAAUACCCGAUAGAUCUCGGCUGCUGGAAUGCAUCGAGAUCGAAAGCUCCGGCGCCUAAGGAUGGGUCUGCGGCCUAUCAGGUAGUAGUGGGUGUAGCGUACCUACUAGCCUACGACGGGUACGGGUUGUGAGAGCAAGAGCCCGGAGAUGGAUUCUGAGACACGAAUCCAGGCCCUACGGGGUGCAGCAGGCGCGAAAACUUUACAAUGCUGGAAACAGCGAUAAGGGGACCUCGAGUGCCAGGUUACAAAUCUGGCUGUCGUGAUGCCUAAAAAGCAUUGCAUAGCAAGGGCCGGGCAAGACCGGUGCCAGCCGCCGCGGUAACACCGGCGGCUCGAGUGGUAACCGUUAUUAUUGGGUCUAAAGGGUCUGUAGCCGGCCGGAUAAGUCUCUUGGGAAAUCCAGCAGCUCAACUGUUGGGCUUUCAGGAGAUACUGUCUGGCUCGAGGCCGGGAGAGGUGAGAGGUACUUCAGGGGUAGGGGUGAAAUCUUGUAAUCCUUGAAGGACCACCAGUGGCGAAGGCGUCUCACCAGAACGGACCUGACGGCAAGGGACGAAAGCUAGGGGCACGAACCGGAUUAGAUACCCGGGUAGUCCUAGCCGUAAACGAUACUCGCUAGGUGUCGGCCACGGUGCGACCGUUGUCGGUGCCGUAGGGAAGCCGUGAAGCGAGCCACCUGGGAAGUACGGCCGCAAGGCUGAAACUUAAAGGAAUUGGCGGGGGAGCA
rnacentral:rRNA from 1 species